AUUAUUUAUAAUAUUUUUUAUUAACUCUUCAUUAAGGCAAACAUUUUCAUUCAAAACUAUUUAAGAAGUCAAUAUAUUUUUUCAAAAUUUAUUAAAAGGAAUAUCUAUCAAUUCUGUUUUUCUCAAGAAGACACACUCGCGAUAAGAAUGAAAUAUUUCACUUCGAUACUCCUACUCCUUGUGGUGGUUUUAAAGGCCGCGGUGUUGCUAAACGCUAGAGUGAGUCCUCAAAAUAUGAAAAUUAAUUGUGCCAGAUUUUGGGAUCCCGCUGUUUGAAGAUUUGUUCAUUCUUAUAUAUAAUAUAAUUAUAAUAUUUUUGUGAUUAAUUUAUCGUAUAAUAAUCAUUAAAUUUAUCAUACUUUUUUAAUAAAAAAAAGAGUA